rnacentral:rRNA from 1 species
UAGAGUUUGAUCAUGGCUCAGGAUGAACGCUAGCGACAGGCUUAACACAUGCAAGUCGAGGGGCAGCGGGGAGGUAGCAAUACUUCCGCCGGCGACCGGCGCACGGGUGAGUAACACGUAUGGAACCUGCCCGUAGCAGGGGGAUAAACGGAAGAAAUUCCGUCUAAUACCGCGUAAUAACUCCGAGAGGCAUCUCAUGGAGUUUAAAGGGUAACACCGGCUACGGAUGGCCAUGCGGCGCAUUAGCUAGUUGGCGGGGUAACGGCCCACCAAGGCGACGAUGCGUAGGGGUUCUGAGAGGAAGGUCCCCCACACUGGUACUGAGACACGGACCAGACUCCUACGGGAGGCAGCAGUGAGGAAUAUUGGUCAAUGGGCGCGAGCCUGAACCAGCCAAGUCGCGUGAGGGAAGACGGUCCUAUGGAUUGUAAACCUCUUUUGUCGGGGAGCAAAAGACGCCACGUGUGGCGUUCCGAGAGUACCCGAAGAAAAAGCAUCGGCUAACUCCGUGCCAGCAGCCGCGGUAAUACGGAGGAUGCGAGCGUUAUCCGGAUUUAUUGGGUUUAAAGGGUGCGCAGGCGGAAGAUCAAGUCAGCGGUAAAAUUGAGAGGCUCAACCUCUUCGAGCCGUUGAAACUGGUUUUCUUGAGUGAGCGAGAAGUAUGCGGAAUGCGUGGUGUAGCGGUGAAAUGCAUAGAUAUCACGCAGAACUCCGAUUGCGAAGGCAGCAUACCGGCGCUCAACUGACGCUCAUGCACGAAAGUGUGGGUAUCGAACAGGAUUAGAUACCCUGGUAGUCCACACAGUAAACGAUGAAUACUAAUUGUUCGGGGAGAAUGAUCCCUGAGUGAUACAGCGAAAGCGUUAAGUAUUCCACCUGGGGAGUACGCCGGCAACGGUGAAACUCAAAGGAAUUGACGGGGGCCCGCACAAGCGGAGGAACAUGUGGUUUAAUUCGAUGAUACGCGAGGAACCUUACCCGGGCUCAAACGACACAGGAAUACUUUUGAAAGGAAGUAGCUCUACGGAGCCUGUGUCGAGGUGCUGCAUGGUUGUCGUCAGCUCGUGCCGUGAGGUGUCGGCUUAAGUGCCAUAACGAGCGCAACCCCCAUCGCCAGUUACCAGCAAGUCAAGUUGGGGACUCUGGCGAGACUGCCGGCGCAAGCUGUGAGGAAGGCGGGGAUGACGUCAAAUCAGCACGGCCCUUACGUCCGGGGCGACACACGUGUUACAAUGGCAGGUACAGAGAGAAGCAAUGCGGCGACGCAAAGCGGAACUUGAAAGCCUGUCUCAGUUCGGAUUGGAGUCUGCAACUCGACUCCAUGAAGCUGGAUUCGCUAGUAAUCGCGCAUCAGCCAUGGCGCGGUGAAUACGUUCCCGGGCCUUGUACACACCGCCCGUCAAGCCAUGGGAGCCGGGGGUGCCUGAAGGCCGUGACCGCGAGGAGCGGCCUAGGGUAAAACUGGUGACUGGGGCUAAGUCGUAACAAGGUAGCCGUAA